rnacentral:rRNA from 1 species
UACGAAGGUCCCAAGCGUUGUCCGGAUUUAUUGGGUUUAAAGGGUGCGUAGGCGGUCCUUUAAGUCAGUGGUGAAAGCCAACAGCUCAACUGUUGAACUGCCAUUGAUACUGGAGGACUUGAGUACAGACGAGGUAGGCGGAAUUGACGGUGUAGCGGUGAAAUGCAUAGAUAUCGUCAAGAACACCGAUUGCGAAGGCAGCUUACUAGACUGUAACUGACGCUGAGGCACGAAAGUGUGGGGAUCAAACAGG